rnacentral:rRNA from 1 species
AGUACGUGAAACCGUUCGGGGGUAAACGGACAGAGCCCGUGAAUCUGGGCGACGGAAUUCAGGAUGGCGUGCGUGCGCGACCCUUUCGCGAGGGCCGACGCGCGACCGCCGUUUGAUAUUUCCGUCGUCGUGGUCACGCACGCAGACGUCGCGACCUGUUCGCGGCCGGUCGCUGAGCCGCGUUCGAGUUUGUUGCGAGCGCGCUCCGGCGCGUUUCGCGGCGAAGGCGCGGACCUCUGGCGGGCCCGGCGGACAGUACGUUCCGUAGACGGUGUCCGGUGCGGCCGUCUCGUACGCGCGCGCAUCGGUACCGGUCGGCGACGAAUUCUUCGGGCCUCUUUCCGACCCGUCUUGAAACACGGACCAAGGAGUCUAACAUGCGCGCGAGUCGCGGGGCGUCGAGCGUGCCGUCGGGUACGCUCGUUACGUAACGAAACCCGUACACAUGUCGAAGGCGUAAUGAAAGUGAACUGGGAAGAUGGUGGCGCCGAGUACACGUUCCGCGAUCGUCGGUAUCGCGGCCGGACACCCGCAUUCCCGGGGCGUCUCGAACGCACGUCGCCAAACGCGGGCCGUCGCCUCUUUGCCGGGGCGGCGGUCGGUUGGCGGCGAGCCGAGGCGCACCUACAGCGUGCACGUUGGUACCCGAAAGAUGGUGAACUAUGCCUGGCCAGGAUGAAGUCAGGGGAAACCCUGAUGGAGGUCCGCAGCGAUUCUGACGUGCAAAUCGAUCGUCUGAGCUGGGUAUAGGGGCGAAAGACUAAUCGAACCAUCUAGUAGCU